AUUGAACGCUGGCGGCAUGCUUUACACAUGCAAGUCGAACGGUAACAGGCCUUCGGGUGCUGACGAGUGGCGAACGGGUGAGUAAUGCAUCGGAACGUGCCCAAUCGUGGGGGAUAACGUAGCGAAAGUUACGCUAAUACCGCAUAAGCCCUGAGGGGGAAAGUGGGGGACCGCAAGGCCUCACGCGAAUGGAGCGGCCGAUGUCAGAUUAGCUAGUUGGUGGGGUAAAGGCUCACCAAGGCGACGAUCUGUAGCGGGUCUGAGAGGAUGAUCCGCCACACUGGGACUGAGACACGGCCCAGACUCCUACGGGAGGCAGCAGUGGGGAAUUUUGGACAAUGGGCGCAAGCCUGAUCCAGCCAUGCCGCGUGCGGGACGAAGGCCUCGGUUGUAAACCGCGUUCUAGCCGGAAGAAAUACGACUGUUUUUAAUACGGUACAGUGGAUGACGGUACCGGAAGAAGAAG
rnacentral:rRNA from 1 species